GAGGAAGAGUGUGCGCGGUUUUCCGCGCAUCCCGCGCCUCGACUUAAUGAAACGAUCACUUUCAUGAUUUUAGGUCGGUACGGGCCUAGUCAUCACGACUAGGCGCGAAUUUCCAUUUUCGCUCUAUCGCCGCAGCGAGAUCGAUAUCGUUGUGGUGGGCGAAGAGCAGGACAUGACCGAGAAUAUCUGCCGUUUCGUCUGCAAGCGACUGCUGCAGGGCGUCCGGCGGGAC
rnacentral:sRNA from 1 species